AGGAUCACAAUAAUUCUGGGCCUUAGGAAUAUAUAGAAUUUUAUGCAGUUUGUCUUGUACAUGUAUAUACACGUUCAUUUUCCAGGAAAGGGUCCACUGCUUCUAUUUUCCUGGAACUUGUUAGCAAUGCAGAUGCUGGGGGCGGAACUUGGCAAUGCUUUAAUAAACACGCUAGGUGAGCCUGAGGUCACGUUGUAAAAUACUAACUUAGAAAGUGCAGGCAAAGAAAAAGGCAAAAUCACUUCUGCAUGGCAGUGUAGUCAGAACUGAGACUGGCACUGUGGGGACUGACUGGAGAUGUGUGAUGAGGCCUUGCUAAAUUGCUUGGGAUAGCCUCAAAUUCACGCCUCAGCCUCUUGAGUACCUGGGAUUACAGAACACACUGACUGAAUGUGACACUGAACAGUCACCAGUGAAUAACCUACAGUACCUGAUCAACAUUUAGUUUUCACGCUGUAGUAACUUGGAAAUGUGCAACCGUGUCAACAGAGACAAAAAAGCCAAAGUAACACGAAUCUCACCGUCAUGCAGCUAUCGGUUAAAUAUUACAUACUCUGGAAUGAUUUUACACCAAAAAUAUUUCCACAAUAACUUGCUCUCAUAGGGGUGGAUCGAAGUUUUAAAACUUGAAAAACAAUGAAAGAAGGUUAAGUGUUCUUGGUUAUGACCCUCCAUCUGCGCCCCGGCACCGCGGCGACCGGGCCUGUUGCGCAGCGGCGAGGAGGGGCGAUGAACCGAGUCACUGCGGAACCUGGUAGGUAGCUGUGGGGAACGGGGCUGCCAGGCAGGAUGUACAAAAGAGUGCGCACCAUUUGGCAGUAGUUUGUCAAUUAACUUGUGUCACCUCCAUCUGCGACAGCAUCGGGAUUGGAUGGACGAUGUUUCACAGAAGACUGACUUACACUUUCAUCUUUAGAGUGACCCUGACAAACCUGGAGAAAACUUUUUUAAAGGCUUUUCUCCUGAUUCUUUCACUUCCAUUGAGAGUAAUUCCUUUAAUAAAUAUCAAAGGUCUAAAUAAAUAUUUACAAAUUCUUUCUCUAACCUCAAAAAACAACUAAAUGAUAAAUGGGAAUUUGACUUGGUCUAAGGUCAGUCUUUGCCAAAAAACAAAAAACCCAACAACAUAAAUUGUGAGAUAUUUUUAAAGAAAAGUAAUUUAAGUUUUCCUGGUUGUAUUUUAUAUAUCUACGUAUAAAGAAAGCAUUAGUCAACUAUCGAUCCAUUCCUAUUGGUAAUGCUUCUUAAUCCAGACAUUCCUCAAAAUACAGACUUUUUACAAAUCACGGCAUCUUUAAUACAAGAAAAUUAACAUGCAUUAUUCUUCAUUCUGUGUACAGUGAUGGAGUUCAUUAGUAGGCAAUGACCCAUUACUACAAACAUAACGGCUUCUGUGAAACUUAAGUGCUUUCUUUCCUUUUAGUAUUAACUUACAUACAAGAAGUGACACCAGAUAAUAGGCAGUUAGGAUGAUACUGGGAAGGGAAGGGGAGGGAAGCAUUGAAGAAAUUUGUAUGCCUCAUCUAUAAUUUCACAUAUGGAUAAAGGUAGUUUUUGGCUUUUUAUUUUUUGUUGUUUAUUUUGUUACAAGCACUCAUAUUAGGACAAAGAUGAAAUGUGCAAACUUUAAAAUUUAAA